rnacentral:misc_RNA from 1 species
AAACCCUCAAGCCUCGCUUGGUAUUGGGCGCCGGGGACUCCCCGCGCCUCCAUUUCGCCGGCUGGCCGUCGUUUGACUUAGCGUUGUGACACAUGUCGCUAACGACACCGACGGACCGCGCCGUGAAAACUCUCUUGGGUGUCUAACAUCCAGUACA